GACGAGUGGCGAACUGGUGAGUAACACGUGGGUAACCUGCCCUUGAAGUAGGGGAUAACACUUGGAAACAGGUGCUAAUACCGUAUAACAACCAAAACCACCUGGUUUUGGUUUAAAAGAUGGCUUCGGCUAUCACUUUAGGAUGGACCCGCGGCGUAUUAGCUUGUUGGUAAGGUAACGGCCUACCAAGGCAAUGAUACGUAGCCGACCUGAGAGGGUAAUCGGCCACAUUGGGACUGAGACACGGCCCAAACUCCUACGGGAGGCAGCAGUAGGGAAUCUUCCACAAUGGACGAAAGUCUGAUGGAGCAACGCCGCGUGAGUGAUGAAGGGUUUCGGCUCGUAAAACUCUGUUGUUGGAGAAGAACAGGUGUGAGAGUAACUGUUCACAUCUUGACGGUAUCCAACCAGAAAGCCACGGCUAACUACGUGCCAGCAGCCGCGGUAAUACGUAGGUGGCAAGCGUUGUCCGGAUUUAUUGGGCGUAAAGCGAGCGCAGGCGGUUUCUUAGGUCUGAUGUGAAAGCCUUCGGCUUAACCGGAGAAGUGCAUCGGAAACCAGGAGACUUGAGUGCAGAAGAGGACAGUGGAACUCCAUGUGUAGCGGUGAAAUGCGUAGAUAUAUGGAAGAACACCAGUGGCGAAGGCGGCUGUCUGGUCUGUAACUGACGCUGAGGCUCGAAAGCAUGGGUAGCGAACAGGAUUAGAUACCCUGGUAGUCCAUGCCGUAAACGAUGAGUGCUAAGUG
rnacentral:rRNA from 1 species